CGGGGUGCACCAGGCGCGAAAACUCCACAAUGCACGAAAGUGUGAUGGGGGGAUCCUACGUGCUCGUGUCUGACAUGGGCUUUUGCCAAGAGCAGAGACCUUGGCGAAUAAGGGGUGGGUAAGACCGGUGCCAGCAAUCGCGAUUAUUGGGCCUAAAGCGUCCGUAGCCGGACAGCUAAAUCCUCUGUGAAAUCGUCUCGCUUAACGUGACGGCGCGCAGGGGAGACUGGCUGUCUUGAGACCGGGAGGGGUCAGAGGUAUGCCGUGGGGACUGGUAAAAUGGUAUAAUCCACGGUAGACCACCAAUGGCGAAGGCAUCUGACCAGAACGGAUCUGACGGUGAGGGACGAAAGCCAGGGGAGCGAACCGGAUUAGAUACCCGAGUAGUCCAGGCCGUAAACGCUGUGAGCUAGGUGUUGCCUAUCCCACGAGGAUGGGCAGUGUCGAAAUGAAGAUGCUAAGCUCACCGCCUGGGAAGUACGGUCGCAAGACUGAAACUUUAAGGAAUUGGCGGGGGAGCACAAGGGCGAAUCGCG
rnacentral:rRNA from 1 species